rnacentral:rRNA from 1 species
UACGUAGGUGGCAAGCGUUGUCCGGAUUUACUGGGCGUAAAGGGCGUGCAGGCGGUUUGUUAAGUCUAGGGUGAAAGCUCCCGGCUCAACUGGGAGAGGUCCUUGGAUACUGGCAGACUUGAGGAGAGUAGAGGAGAGUGGAAUUCCCGGUGUAGUGGUGAUAUGCGUAGAUAUCGGGAGGAACACCAGUGGCGAAGGCGGCUCUCUGGAACGGUACUGACGCUGAGACGCGAAAGCGUGGGGAGCGAACAGG